CCAGCAGCCGCGGUAAUACGGAGGGUCCGAGCGUUAAUCGGAAUUACUGGGCGUAAAGCGUGCGCAGGCGGUUUGUUAAGCGAGAUGUGAAAGCCCUGGGCUCAACCUAGGAAUAGCAUUUCGAACUGACAAACUAGAGUCUUGUAGAGGGGGGUAGAAUUCCAGGUGUAGCGGUGAAAUGCGUAGAGAUCUGGAGGAAUACCGGUGGCGAAGGCGGCCCCCUGGACAAAGACUGACGCUCAUGCACGAAAGCGUGGGGAGCAAACAGGAUUAGAUACCCUGGUAGUCCACGCCGUAAACGAUGUCUACUCGGAGUUUGGUGUCUUGAACACUGGGCUCUCAAGCUAACGCAUUAAGUAGACCGCCUGGGGAGUACGGCC
rnacentral:rRNA from 1 species